rnacentral:rRNA from 1 species
GAGUUUGAUCGUGGCUCAGGAUGAACGCUGGCGGCGUGCCUAAUACAUGCAAGUCGAACGAACAGAUAAGGAGCUUGCUCCUUUGACGUUAGCGGCGGACGGGUGAGUAACACGUGGGUAACCUACCUAUAAGACUGGAAUAACUCCGGGAAACCGGGGCUAAUGCCGGAUAACAUGUUGAACCGCAUGGUUCUACAGUGAAAGACGGUCUUGCUGUCACUUAUAGAUGGACCCGCGCCGUAUUAGCUAGUUGGUGGGGUAACGGCCUACCAAGGCGACGAUACGUAGCCGACCUGAGAGGGUGAUCGGCCACACUGGAACUGAGACACGGUCCAGACUCCUACGGGAGGCAGCAGUAGGGAAUCUUCCGCAAUGGGCGAAAGCCUGACGGAGCAACGCCGCGUGAGUGAUGAAGGUCUUCGGAUCGUAAAGCUCUGUUGUUAGGGAAGAACAAUGUGUAAGUAACUGUGCAUAUCUUGACGGUACCUAACCAGAAAGCCGACGGCUAACUACGUGCCA